rnacentral:rRNA from 1 species
GAUGAACGCUGGCGGCGUGCCUAAUACAUGCAAGUAGAACGCUGAAGGAGGAGCUUGCUCUUCUGGAUGAGUUGCGAACGGGUGAGUAACGCGUAGGUAACCUGCCUGGUAGCGGGGGAUAACUAUUGGAAACGAUAGCUAAUACCGCAUGACAACAGUUAUUGCAUGAUAACUGUUUAAAAGGGGCAACUGCUCCACUACCAGAUGGACCUGCGUUGUAUUAGCUAGUUGGUGAGGUAACGGCUCACCAAGGCGACGAUACAUAGCCGACCUGAGAGGGUGAUCGGCCACACUGGGACUGAGACACGGCCCAGACUCCUACGGGAGGCAGCAGUAGGGAAUCGUCGGCAAUGGACGGAAGUCUGACCGAGCAACGCCGCGUGAGUGAAGAAGGUUUUCGGAUCGUAAAGCUCUGUUGUAAGAGAAGAACGAGUGUGAGAGUGGAAAGUUCACACUGUGACGGUAUCUUACCAGAAAGGGACGGCUAACUACGUG